CCACACGCAGCACAAUUUCAUACGAUUAAUCCAAAAAAAUAUAUUGUUGAUUUCAAUAAUUAACCAAUUAUUGAAUCAAAAAGAUUUUAUUGUUGGUUUAACAAUAUUUUCUGGUUGAAACAACAAUAAUAAUUUUAUUUCAACAAUAUUUCUUUUUAACCGUACUCGCUUAAAAGAUAAUCAACGUGUAUUUUUUAUAUUUACUCUUUAAAUUUAUUUGUCUGAAGAUUUGAGCUUUCUUUCCGUGCGGAGGAAUUAUUGUUUUUUAAAUGCAAAAUCUACUGAAUAUGGAGUAAACGCAUUCCUCGAAUUGCCGGAUAAAUGACUACCAAAACAUUAAGUCAUGAGUCAUGACCCUUCAAGUUGGAAGAGCUGAUUCCGGCUAUGUAGCGCGAAAGAUUAUACAUAGCCGGUUGAGUAUAGAUGACAAAUUUAUCAGCAUGUUCUCCAGUGAGCCACAACUUUCGAUUCCAAACAGCAUUCACAUCAGUAACCAGCAGAUUUGAUAUCAGAUAAAAUGUACCGUAAUAUUCCUCGUUACCUAAAUAAAGAAGUUGAAAACAUAAAAUUCAA